rnacentral:rRNA from 1 species
UGGUUAAGAUAUCAAAGCUCUGGCGGUACAGGAUGGACCCGCGUCUGAUUAGCUAGUUGGUGAGGUAAUGGCUCACCAAGGCGACGAUCAGUAGCCGACCUGAGAGGGUGAUCGGCCACACUGGAACUGAGACACGGUCCAGACUCCUACGGGAGGCAGCAGUGGGGAAUAUUGCACAAGGGGCGAAAGCCUGAUGCAGCAACGCCGCGGACCUUAUAAAGGCCUUCGGGUCGUAAAGCUCUGUCCUCAAGGAAG